rnacentral:lncRNA from 1 species
GUUGCCAGACGGGACUCCCGCCAAAAUCGGAAACAAGAACACUUACCCCUUACCUAAUAUAAAAUUAUAUUCAAAAUCUCAAAACAUCUUGUCUUAUUUAUACUUGACUCUAGGUAUGUAUUAAAAAUUAAAGAGAGAAUUGGUUUGUUUCGCUUUCAACGUAAAAUGGCUGAACCGAUUAAGAGGGCUAUCACAAAUUUUCGAGUUUUAUACGAGUUUUGAUGCGUCAUUAUGCUUUGGAUAUAGUCACAAAAAAAAAACAAAAAUAAGAUUAAGAAAGUUUGAUCAUUUAUCUUGGGGCUGCUUUCAAUAAAUAUUUUAAUUUGUCCACGUACAUCAGUAAAAUCUUUGUCUCUGCAAAGGAUGUUUCAUAAAAUGUUGCUUUUGGGAAUCUUUUGAUGCUUCAGUACUACGAAGAUAUAGCAAUUUAACCAUUUAUAAAAAUGUUCAAGAUACAACUAUAUCUUGUACUUGUGCUUGCUUACACCAAUUUAUUACAAUUCAUACAGUGAUACACCAAAAAUAAUUCUAUAAAACUGAGAGUUACUGACAAUUUUCCGUACAAAACUAUAUUUUUUAUCUAUGAAAGUAUAAUCCAAAUUCAAAUAAAACAUAUUUAAUAAUUAAGGUGGUAUUGUUAUAAAGAUUGAAAAAAAAAAUUGGUCUAUUUAAAAGUAAAACAAUAUUUUAAAAUAAUUUUUGUUUGCAAUGCAAAAAUCAAUAUAAAUCUUGUGACGCGCGGUGUUCAACUUUAGUCAGCGCCAAGCGCUUAUCGAGGGAGGAUGUAUCGCUCGCUGUUGCGCCGCGCAAACUCGCCGGAGCUCGAAAAAUAUAGCGCAACCUGCGCAACGAACUCGUUUUGAUACUAGAUAAUGAAAGCAUAUUUAAUUCAGAUUAUCAGACUCAAUCGGAUACCAGUACAAAUAAUAUGGUAAGUAUUUUUUGUCACUCGCAACAGACAUAUUUGUUUUAAUAAACUAUUUACAUUCCUAGUUUUUAUUGUUGCAGGAAAAUGAAGAUACAAUACAUGGAAGACGAAUUAUAGAUUUUAGUUUUUUUAUAAAUCAAUUACUUAUACCUAAUUGAUAAACAUGGUGAAAAGUUUGGUUGUCGAUUAAAUAAUUUAAAAAUUGUAAACGA